GUUAGGAUGGCUGAGUGGUCUAAAGCUCUAAAUUCAAGUUUUGAUUUUCGUGAAAGAGCGUGCGUUCAAAUCCCACUUCUAACA
rnacentral:tRNA from 1 species